UGGGGAAUCUUGCGCAAUGCGCGAAAGCGUGACGCAGCAACGCCGCGUGGGGGAAGACGGCCUUCGGGUUGUAAACCCCUUUCAGGAGGGACGAAGCCCGAGUGGUGAAUAGCCGUAUCGGGUGACGGUACCUCCAGAAGAAGCCCCGGCUAACUACGUGCCAGCAGCCGCGGUAAUACGUAGGGGGCAAGCGUUGUCCGGAAUUAUUGGGCGUAAAGCGCGUGUAGGCGGUCCGCUAAGUCGGCUGUGAAAGUCCAGGGCUCAACCCUGGGAUGCCGGUCGAUACUGGCGGACUAGAGUCCGGAAGAGGCGAGUGGAAUUCCCGGUGUAGCGGUGAAAUGCGCAGAUAUCGGGAGGAACACCAAUGGCGAAGGCAGCUCGCUGGGACGGUACUGACGCUGAGACGCGAAAGCGUGGGGAGCAAACAG
rnacentral:rRNA from 1 species